GACGAGGUGGCCGAGUGGUUAAGGCGAUGGACUGCUAACCAUUGUGUCGUGUAGGCAUGGGUUCGAAUUCCAUUCUCGUCG
rnacentral:tRNA from 1 species